UCUUUAGCAAGUCCCGGUGUGUCUCUUCCUUUGUGCGCUUGCCUUUCUCUUAGCUUCUUUUGCUGCAGUUUGAGGAUUUGUGUGUAGGUCUAAAGCAGUGUGACCCUGACGGAGUGCAGGCGAAAGUUCUGGAGGAGGUGGUCGCGGGGAUUCAUGUCAUGAAAGGUAAUGAAGCCAUCUGAAACCGCCGAAGUCAUAGAAAGUUCGUCUGUCCAGCCUCACUUCUUGUCAUGGUGGGAGAUUGAGUUUUCACUGAUGUGGUAUAUGGGAACAGACAUGAUUUUCUUACCAUUUUAACCGAGCCACUUAGCCUUUCUGGAGAGCCUUUUAUGGUUAAGCAGGACAUUCAGGAUCGUGCAGCUCCUAGUACUACUUAAAUUUCACGCAUUCAACUUUUGGUUUCUGCUCAAGUCCUUUUGUUCCCAAAGCUUAUCAUCAAUUGGCGGAUCAUCUACAAAUAAUAUACACCAUGAUGGCUUUUUAGCGAGCUCAUCUAGUAUCAACAUAAAAAUUACAAGAGGAGUUAACUCGCGAUCAACUUGCAGUUGAAGAAUUCAUUUAUGAUGCUAUUUCUGUUAAUUUUCAAGAUGGAUGGAACAUGAGUGGAACUUUCAAACUUUUGCAGAAAUAUAAUGGCAGUGCUUUCUUCAUUGAACUUGUGAGCUUGAAGUGGUUUACAUGCUUAUGGAAACGAAGUAGAUUCAGUGCCCACCUAUAUUUCUUUCUGCAUUUGUUUUGAUCUCAAAUGGAUUGAAUAUAAUUGAAGAUGAAAAUAAAUGUUGAGACUUUCUUC